UUCUCCCUCUCCCUCUCUAACCUGCAACCAUGACUUCGGCGUCGCCGCCUCCGCCUCAACCGUGUCCACGUCGCCCGCCUCCGCCUCGACCGCGUGCACGUCGUCCCACCGCCCCUUGCCUCCAUCGACCUCCACGUCGCCCUGCCACCCCUGCAGGGGGUUUAUAUGUACAAAUUGAUUUGGAAACAAAUUUAUAUGGAAGAGAUAUGAAGUAAGAAUAUAGAGUGUAUUUUGCUGUUAAUGAAGUUGAACAAUGUAUGAGG